rnacentral:misc_RNA from 1 species
GAAAAAGGGUUAAAGAAGAAGGAGCAGUCUUGGGUACUGUGUCUGAUACAUAGUUGUUGCUGAAGGAACAAUCAUGGCCGUGGAUGAGAAUGGCUCCUUGAAUCGGACGGACGAUAGUGCUGUAAAGAAUGAUUCCGCUGCCGUCGAUCAGAACGGUGCGCCACGGUCAACGAUACCCAGUGAUCAGAAUAUUCAAAAGAUGUCUGUUGAUCAUCAGCCCCAGAAAACGAGUGUGCAGCAU